AUACGGAGGGUGCAAGCGUUACUCGGAAUCACUGGGCGUAAAGCGCGCGCAGGCGGUCUUUUAAGUUGGAUGUGAAAGCCUACGGCUCAACCGUAGAACUGCAUCCAAAACUAUUAGACUAGAGUGUGGGAGAGGAAGAUGGAAUUAGUUGUGUAGGGGUAAAAUCCGUAGAGAUAACUAGGAAUACCGAAAGCGAAGGCGAUCUGCUGGGACAUUACUGACGCUGAGGCGUGAAAGCGUGGGGAGCAAACAGGAUUAGAUACCCCAGUAGUCC
rnacentral:rRNA from 1 species